rnacentral:tRNA from 1 species
UAGUGUUUUAGGUUAAAUAAACCUUGGACCUUCAAAGUCCACAAUAAAGUAAAUUCUUUAAACGUUAU